ensembl:lncRNA
UCUCCGAGAGCAGCAGACGCCAGGCACGGGAGAGAGGAGAGCGAGCUCCCGCGAGCGCCUACGAACGGACCCGCCGGACCGCAGAAGAGGCAGCCGAGGCAGACCUGAGGGUUUGCCGUGUCUCCCGCGAACCGGAGCCACGUGGCGACACAGCAAGGAGGGACCGUUCCCAGGAGGGCGAACCAGCAGAGGACGAGAGGAGGAUUCGCCGCGGACGAGAGCUGGAAGAGCCAGCGGGCCAGGCGAGGAUCGAUCGCCAACGUGAGCUCGCAGCUGACAUCUCCGAGAGCAGCAGACGCCAGGCACGGGAGAGAGGAGAGCGAGCUCCCGCGAGCGCCUACGAACGGACCCGCCGGACCGCAGAAGAGGCAGCCGAGGCAGACCUGAGGGUUUGCCGUGUCUCCCGCGAACCGGAGCCACGUGGCGACACAGCAAGGAGGGACCGUUCCCAGGAGGGCGAACCAGCAGAGGACGAGAGGAUUCGCCGGGGACGAGAGCUGGAAGAGCCAGCGGGCCAGGCGAGGAUCGAUCGCCAACGCGAGCUCGCAGCUGACGUCUCCGAGAGCAGCAGACGCCAGGCACGGGAGAGAGGAGAGCGAGCUCCCGCGAGCACCCAGAGGGAGUUCCAUGAGAGAAGCAUUUGUGACAGAAGUGAGUCAGAACAAGAGUGUUAUACUUUUAGCCACCAUCAUCCAGAUGGGUUACAGUGUGAGGCACCAGAGAGGAACCCCUGUGAGCCUACAGAGCACCAGGGCAAGAGGAAUUGCACACUGCUACACAAGCAAGAAACACUAGUGCAUGAACCUAAAAGGUACCCAUCAAUUGAGGGCAAAGGAAGAAGGGAUGAUAGGAGCCUCUUCCAAAUAGUGCAGUUGGAUACGAAGCACCUGAGCCUGCCAGCAGAGCUGGAGUCUGUUGCAGAUAGGAGGAUCCAUUAUCUUCCUGAUGAGCUAGAUGUACAGCCAGACGUCAAGUUCCUCCCUCUGCCUUGCAAGCCUCAUACUGUGGCAUACUUAAUCCACGUGAUCCAGAAGCUAAACAAUCCCCAGUCAGCCACCUACAGAGCAGAGAUUGUCUGCUACCAGCCCCAUGACCUGGGGCAACCUGUUUAUGCAAGGAAAUGCUAUGUGUCACCACAGCCUCUGGCAGUCCCGCGCGAAGGAAGCAGUCGCCAGGAGCCAGAACCCAGUGAGGACGAGAGAAUUCCAGGGGAUACUCAGGAGCCUGAAUCCCCGCAGCACAAAGACACAUGUGUUUUGGAACCAUGUGUGGACAGGAGCAGUAGCCAGCAGCCACCUCCUUCCAGCCCCCAGGAAAGAAAAGGGGACCUCAAUGAGCCACAUGAGCAUGAGCCGCAGGAAAAUAGAAAAAGCUCCUGUCAGCACGAGAGGGCUGAAAUAGAAGUGAAGGAAGGGGUUUGUCAGGAGCCCCCAUCAGAUAGCAUUAAGGGUGAACCUCAUCAACCUUGCAAGGCUGAACUCAGACAGGACAGGAGGAACAAUCAGUGUUCAAGGAUGCCCGAUACCGAAAUGGAGCCACAGGAAAGCGGAUCGAAAGCCUCUGGAGAGCAGGUCCUGCAGGAGCCCGAAUCCAGCUGCCACCCAGCGGGCAAGCCCCGAGCGCCAGGGAAGGAGGGAAGCCAGCCUUGGCCACAGAAGACCAAAUCACCCUGGGGGGAAUCAAGUCAGCAGGGGAACGAGUGCAAGGAGAGGGAGGCCAAAAGCCACCUACCUCUGUCCAAGGCAUCUGAACACAGCCAGGACCAGGCGGCCCAAGGCCAGGCUCCAGAGUUGCAGCUGUGGGAAGGUGGAGGGCACCAGGCACCGGCAUGCAAGUCAGGCCAGCGAGCUGCAGAAGAUACCUGUCUGCAGCCACCCCCGAGGGAGGAAGCCAGCUGCUGUCAGCAGGAUGCAGAGAGGAGCCACCUGCAACAGAAAGAAAACAGCAAGAGGAGCUACUGCCAAGCAAGCGAGUCCCAGACACAAGGGGAAGAGGAACCACAUCUUUGCACCAACCAGAGCCAGGGCCCUCCCAGCCCUCCAAGGUCACAGGAGACACCAAGUUGUCCCGGUGUGGAUGAGGUCAAGGCAUCUUAG